GCAGCAGAUCAGUGAAACACACACACACACACACACCAUUCCACCAUAUUAACUUUCCGUCCCUCCCUGCCCCAUCCCUCUGUCUCCUCCCGCUGGUCCUUCCUCCCCUUCACUCCCAUCAUCUGCUUCACAUCCUUACCAAAUUGCUGUUUUUCCCCUUUUUCCUCUUUCCUUUCCUUCGUUUUACCUUUUGAUAUGUAGAUGGCGUUGUUUUCACCAUCUCGCUGGCGGCGCUGUUGGCGUUAGGUGGCGGGAAGUAGGAGAGCGGGAGGAGGACAAUGUGACAAGACGUGAAGAGCCGAUGGCAGCUCCAUGAAGCACGCGGACGUACAGCAUGGUGAUGACACCGACGCCACCCUUGAGAGGCACACCAGAGGACCUGAGUGUGUCUAAUGAGUCGCAUCUACCUCACAGACAGUCUCCUGCACGCACUCGCUACUCGGAAACAUACGCAGGAAGCUGGAAUGCAGAAGGCGAAAUCAAAUCAGAGAAAAGGAAACGAAGAGCAGGAAAAGUAUGAGGAGCAUCUGCAGGUGGUCUGGAGUCCAAUCAGUGCUGUGCUCCUGUGGCUGCAAGAGGAGAGGAGUGUGGGGGCAGCCAGACACAGAUGGAGAGACGAGGACCUGUUGCUGGCAGGCGGAGGAAAAGCAGUGGGAGAGGAAAGGGACUGCGGUGGUAAUGGUGAAAAAGACAAGACAAUACGAAGGUUGGGUUUGGCAGUCACUAAAGAUGUAGUUAAGUGAGGAUAUAUGAAAUGCGUCCGAGUAGGUGGUGGUGGUGGUAUUGUUGGCCGCCUCUUCGAGGAUGUGAUAAGCUAUUAUAAUAAUCUAAACUAUUUGAAUUGUAAAGUGUUGGUGCCUCUUGGUAUGAUAUAUUAAGACCAGAGAAGGUGCUCACGUGACGUCUUCAUGCCUACACGUGGCAGUUCUUGUAUGAAGCGAAAAUCUUGUCUAAUACUUACUUUUUAUGGAUCAUCCCACGAAGAAGAAAAAAACAGCUUUUCCUUAAGGUUCCCAAUGACUCCGUAUUAACAACCAAAAUUAGUCCACUCAUUUGAGAACCGAUUGUUUACAUAUUUUUUUCUGAACUUUUCCAGCUUUAAAUAUUUUAAGGUUAUUAGAGCGAAGGUGAUUUUCUCGGAGGCUCUCUCUGGCGCUGCACUCUUUGCCAGAGAUAAAUGUCGGACAGGUGUUAUUGACUUUGCUGUCCAAUACUCCGCCUCUAAGAUGGCAAGAGCGAAGGAGUGACAAGAAGAUACUGUACCGUCAUGGAUCCUUUCUCUCGUUCAGGGAGGGACAAGGAAAGCAAAAGAUCAUCACUAUCAUACACCUAUCGAUUUCAUUCAGUCGUUAAGGAAAUAGAAACUAUAAGGGCAAAAUUAACGCUGGAAAACAAUCCUUGAUACGUCUGUGUGUGUGUGAUCGCAGAAUUAGCAUAGGUGGUGGCGGCAGCAGCGGCGUCCCCGUUCUUAUCGACAGCCGGUCUCUUGGGGCCACCCUCCCUCUGAGGCGUGCUGACCGAAUGUUAUUGGUUGCGUACCGACUCGAUAUUCAGCCCGGGCAGAUGUCUUAUCCCUGCCACCUGCACCUGCCUCGCAUCGCACGCCCUACCCCACUAGCUCCCAGACUACGGCUCGUAACCCCAGAGAGAGAUGAGUGACAGUGAGGAAUGAGUGAGUGAGUAGUAUAGUUUACUUGAAAAUAACACUUAUUUCUAAUGAAAUGCCUUUUUUUCUAACAAACUUAUUUCCAGUAGAAGUUGGCUACUGAUGAGAUGGCCUAGCUACGCAUGGUGCUGAAAGAAAGAACACCAGUGUUGUGAAAGACGACAGAGCAGAGGGACUUGUCCAAUAUACUGAGACGAGCUUACGAGAACCGUGACGCAGUUGAAGACACGCAAACCUGGAAUGAGCAAGCUUCAGGAGUCCAUGACUGAAGAGUGUUACCACAGCUUCCUACACUAACGGACCACUCUAUCCUGAGCCUGCUGGAGUCAUCCCCAUUAAAGUAUCUCACUACAGUAGUACCCAGAAAAAAAAAUCCUAAGACUCUCCCGAUAUUUUGUACUUACGAGAACAGUAACGUGGUUGUAGCAGACAAGAAAGAGGCUGCUGGAGGAGUGUUGCCAGUAGUAUCAUCUACACCAAUGGGCCACACUAUCCUCCCUGCUGGAGUCUGUCACUCUCAUAACCUGAAAAACUUUGAAUAUCUCAAUUAAAUAUCCCUAUAAAAAUA